rnacentral:lncRNA from 1 species
AACCCGAGCUCACGGCUGAACCUGUCUGCGGGGUUCAGUACAGACGUUGUCGCCACGCGGCAGCUGUCCUCCUGGGGAGAACGGUGCCUGGCGAUACCCAGAUACCCACGUGCCUUCCCAAGACACCUGCAAACUCCAGAGCGCUCCCUCCCAUCUACUCAGAGUCAGCCUUCGGGCCUUGCCACCUCCUCAGUCCAGCCCAGCCUUUGUCCCUCCAGGACAGCCACAAAACGACCACCAUCUCGGAAAGGAUCUCAGGCGAAUCUUCUGAAUAGGAGCCAUGUCCUCCCAGGAACGAGCCCCAACCCUGGAAUGUCAGGUGCUCGGAUGGGCCCAGGUCCCAAGAGUCAGGAAGACAGGUAUGGGAUGGGGUGAAAUUUCCAAAAUACCAAGCCAUCUACUCUAUGCACCACUUCAACUCCAGAAUCUAUGUGAAAGCUGAGAAACACAGACAGACAGGAGAGAGAGAGAGAGAGAGAGAGAGAGAGAGCGCUUUAGUUAAAAAACCAGGAGAUCUGGGUUCUAUUUCAGCAAUGACAUUGCUUUAGUGACCCAAGCAGUUUCCUUCCCACUGGGUUUUGAUUUUCUUCUUGAGACUACUAAAAGCAUAAGUAGCAGCCAAGGAGUUACAGGUUUCAAGGGUUUGAGAAGAAGGCUCUAGGAAGGAGCCCUUGUCUAGCCUGUUGGGCAAUGAACACAGGGCCAGAGGUCCAUAUGGUGCAGGCAGAAUCAUAACUGGGUGUGACCGCACAGGGCUUUUUAAAUUUUUUAAAAAGAUUUAUUUAUUUGAAAGACAGAGUUACAGACAGAGAUAAAGAAUCUUCCAUCCACUGGUUCACUCCCAAAAUGGUCGCAAAGACCAGGACCGGGCCAGACCAAAGCCAGGAACCUGGAGCUUCAUCUGGGUCUCCUACGUGGGUGCAGGGGCCCAAGCACUUGGGCCAUCUUCUUCUGCAGCUUUCUCAGGUACAUUUAGCAGGGAGCCAGAUAGGAUGUGGAGCAGCCAGGACUCCAACCAGCACUCAUAUCUGAUGCUGGUGCCGCAGGCAGCAGCCUUACCUGUUUUGUUUUGUUUGUUUGUUUUUUGACAGGCAGAGUGGACAGUGAGAGAGAGAGACAGAGAGAAAGGUCUUCCUUUGCCAUUGGUUCACCCUCCAAUGGCCGCCAUGGCUGGCGCACCACGCUGAUCUAAAGCCAGGAGCCAGGUGCUUCUCCUGGUCUCCCAUGGGGUGCAGGGCCCAAGCACUUGGGCCAUCCUCCACUGCACUCCCUGGCCACAGCAGAGAGCUGGCCUGGAAGAGGGGCAACGGGGACAGAAUCUGGUGCCCCGACCGGGACUAGAACCUGGUGUGCUGGCGCCGCAGGCAGAAGAUUAGCCUAUUGAGCCACGGUGUCGGCCAGCCUUACCUGUUAUGCCACACUGCCAACCCCUGAACAGGCCUUUGUCUUGCAACAUGUGGGAGACAUGGAUGAAGCUUCUGGCUCCUGGUUUCAGCCAGCCCAGCUCCAGUCAUUGAGGCCAUCUGGGGUGCAAACCAACAGAUGGAAGCUUUCUCUCUCUCUCUCUUUCUCUCUCUCUCUCUCUCUCUCUCUCUGUGUGUGUGUGUGUGUGUGUAAAACUCUCCAUUUCAAAUAAAUAAAUAAAUCUUAAAAUUAAAAAAAAAGCA